rnacentral:rRNA from 1 species
AUUUUCCGCAAUGGGCGAAAGCCUGACGGAGCAACGCCGCGUGAGGGAUGAAGGCCUCUGGGCUGUAAACCUCUUUUCUCAAGGAAGAAGAUCUGACGGUACUUGAGGAAUAAGCCACGGCUAAUUCCGUGCCAGCAGCCGCGGUAAUACGGGAGUGGCAAGCGUUAUCCGGAAUUAUUGGGCGUAAAGCGUCCGCAGGCGGCUCUGUAAGUCUGCUGUCAAAGCGUGGAGCUUAACUCCAUUUCGGCAGUGGAAACUACAGGGCUUGAGUGUGGUAGGGGCAGAGGGAAUUCCCGGUGUAGCGGUGAAAUGCGUAGAUAUCGGGAAGAACACCAGUGGCGAAGGCGCUCUGCUGGGCCAUAACUGACGCUCAUGGACGAAAGCCAGGGGAGCGAAAGGGAUUAGAUACCCCUGUAGUCCUGGCCGUAAACGAUGAACACUAGGUGUCGGGGGAAUCGACCCCCUCGGUGUCGUAGCCAACGCGUUAAGUGUUCCGCCUGGGGAGUACGCACGCAAGUGUGAAACUCAAAGGAAUUGACGGGGGCCCGCACAAGCGGUGGAGUAUGUGGUUUAAUUCGAUGCAACGCGAAGAACCUUACCAGGGUUUGACAUCCUGCGAACCUCUGAGAAAUCGGAGGGUGCCUUCGGGAACGCAGAGACAGGUGGUGCAUGGCUGUCGUCAGCUCGUGUCGUGAGAUGUUGGGUUAAGUCCCGCAACGAGCGCAACCCACGUCGUUAGUUGCCAGCAUUCAGUUGGGCACUCUAGCGAGACCGCCGGUGAUAAACCGGAGGAAGGUGUGGAUGACGUCAAGUCAUCAUGCCCCUUACAUCCUGGGCUACACACGUACUACAAUGCUACGGACAAAGGGCAGCGAGCUCGCGAGAGUAAGCAAAUCCCAUAAACCGUGGCUCAGUUCAGAUCGUAGGCUGCAACUCGCCUACGUGAAGGAGGAAUCGCUAGUAAUCGCAGGUCAGCAUACUGCGGUGAAUACGUUCCCGGGCCUUGUACACACCGCCCGCCACACCAUGGAAGUUGGCCAUGCCCGAAGUCGUUACUCCAACCCUUGUGGAGGAGGACGCCGAAGGUGGGGCUGAUGACUGGGGUGAAGUCGUAACAAGGUAGCCGUACCGGAAGGUGC